AACAUCCAGUGUCUUAGUGGUUAGAGCAUCCACCUCAGAUGUGGGAGAUCAUGGGUUCGAACCCCAGCUGAGUCA